GAUUGUUGAAUACACUGUGUAAAUUCCAAUAGAAACAGAAUUUUCUUUAAAACUGUUAAUAAACUCUUGGUCUGAGGAUAGGGAUCUCUAUGAAAGAGCUAGGGGAAAGAUUGAAUGAGCCAAAGAGGAUGUCAACCCCAUAGGAAUAACAAUAUCAACUAAUGUGAACCCUUCAGAGCUUCCAGAGACUAAAUCACCAACCAAAGAGCAUACAUGGGCUGGUCUGUGGACUCCAGCAAAUAUGUAGCAGAGGACUGCCUUGCCUUGACUCAGUGGGAGAAGGUGUGCCUGAUCUUGUAGAAACUUGAUGACCCAGGGAAGGGGAAUGCUGGUAGCAGUGAGGUGGGUGUGGGUGGGUAGAGAGAGCACCCUCAGAAGCAAAGGGGAGGGGGAGAUGGGUGAAGAAUUCGCAGAGGUGGGACUGGGAAGGGGGCACACUUUGGAAUGUAAACAGAUAAAAUGAUUUAAUCAAAAACUAUUAAUAACUUUUCAAAGAUUUUAAUAUGCUAUAAUUAUUCUGGAACCUUGUCUAUUUUCAGGAAAUAAAAUUGCAAUUUUACAUUUAGGAAAACUGUAUGUCUUCAAUUCACUGCUUCUCAACCUGUAGGCCAUGACUUCUUUGAGGACAAACGAUCUAUGUGAGGAGCCGCCCUCACAUUUGCCAUUAUAAGAUGGCACUGACAGCUGUGUUCUAAGUGGUAAACAUAGUCUGCACACAUGCAGGGGCAGUUUUCCCACCAUGUGUUCUGCCUUUCCCGUGAUGACAACUGGGCCGAUGGGCUGCAGCCAAUCAGGGAGUAAUACAUCCUAGGUGGAGGAUAAUUCUCCUUAAAAAGGGAUGGGGUAUCGCCAUUUGCUGGCUUGCUCUCUUGCUUCUUGCGGGCUUGCUCUCUUGCACUCUGGCUCCUGAAGAUGUAAGCAAUAAAGCUUUGCCGCAGAAGAUUCUGGUUUGUUGCGUCUUUCCUGGCCGGUCGUGAGAACGCGUCUAAUAACAAUUGGUGCCGAAACCCGGGACGGGACGAGAAAUUCCGGGACGAGAAAAAAUCCGGGACGAAAAAAUACGAGAAAAAACUCGGGACUGGCGCAAGGAAGAUCCCUCAUUCCAGAACCAGAACUGCGGGUCGCGGUAAUAAAGGUUCCCGUAAAGCAGACUGUUAAGAAGGAUUCAACUGUAUGAAUUCAGAACUUUUCAGCUGGGGAACGAGAGUACCAGUGAGUAUAGCUUUAUGAGGUAAGCCUGGCCUUGAAUUU
rnacentral:lncRNA from 1 species